rnacentral:rRNA from 1 species
CUUUGGAGUUGGCUCUUGUCUAUGUUCCUUGGAACAGGACGUCACAGAGGGUGAGAAUCCCGUGCGAUGAGAUGCCCAAUUCCAUGUAAAGUGCUUUCGAAGAGUCGAGUUGUUUGGGAAUGCAGCUCUAAGUGGGUGGUAAAUUCCAUCUAAAGCUAAAUAUUGGCGAGAGACCGAUAGCGAACAAGUACAGUGAUGGAAAGAUGAAAAGAACUUUGAAAAGAGAGUGAAAAAGUACGUGAAAUUGUUGAAAGGGAAGGGCUUGAGAUCAGACUUGGUAUUUUGCGAUCCUUUCCUUUUUGGUUGGGUUCUCCGCAGCUUACUGGGCCAGCAUCGGUUUGGACGGUAGGAUAAUGAUUAAGGAAUGUGGCUCUACUUCGGUGGAGUGUUAUAGCCUUGGUUGAUGCUGCCUGUCUAGACCGAGGACUGCGUCUUUGACUAGGAUGUUG